rnacentral:rRNA from 1 species
AUUGAACGCUGGCGGCAGGCCUAACACAUGCAAGUCGAACGAGUGGCGGACGGGUGAGUAAUGUCUGGGAAACUGCCUGAUGGAGGGGGAUAACUACUGGAAACGGUAGUUAAUACCGCAUACCAUCAGAUGUGCCCAGAUGGGAUUAGCUAGUUGGUGGGGUAACGGCUCACCAAGGCGACGAUCCAUAGCUGGUCUGAGAGGGUGACCGGCCACACGGGAACUGAGACACGGUCCAGACUCCUACGGGAGGCAGCAGUAGGGAAUAUUGCGCAAUGGGCGCAAGCCUGACGGAGCCAUGCCGCGUGUGUGAUGAAGGCCUUCGGGUUGUAAAGUACUUUCAGCGGGGAAGCGUUACCCGCAGAGGAAGCACCGGCUAACUCCGUGCCAGCAGCCGCGGUAAUAC